rnacentral:antisense_RNA from 18 species
CUUUAUGGGCGGGCCGUGCGGGGCAUCUUCGGAUGCGCCGGCCCUCAGACCGGUACGCCAACCCGUGCGGUCUGCUCACCCAA